UACGAAGGGGGCUAGCGUUGCUCGGAAUUACUGGGCGUAAAGGGCGCGUAGGCGGAUGUUUAAGUCGGGGGUGAAAGCCCAGGGCUUAACCCUGGAAUUGCCUUUAAAACUGCAUCGCUAGAAUUGUGGAGAGGUAAGUGGAAUUCCGAGUGUAGAGGUGAAAUUCGUAGAUAUUCGGAAGAACACCAGUGGCGAAGGCGACUUACUGGACACAUAUUGACGCUGAGGUGCGAAAGCGUGGGGAGCAAACAGG
rnacentral:rRNA from 1 species